GCCCUUAUAGUUCAAUGGAUAGAACACGACCCUUCUAAGGUCAAGAUGUAGGUUCGAUCCCUACUGGGGGCA
rnacentral:tRNA from 1 species